rfam:Hordeum vulgare subsp. vulgare, WGS project CAJW01000000 data, contig: morex_contig_59985
CAUAUACUCCCUCCAUUUCAAAAUUCUUGUUUUAGAUUUGUUUAAAUAUGAAUGUAUCUAGUCAAGUUUUAGUAUUUAGAUACCCAUUUCUAAACAAAGCUAAGACAAGAAUUUUAAGACGGAGGAAGUAUAUA